rnacentral:lncRNA from 1 species
GCCUGUGUGGACGACACCAAACGGACAUGCUUAUCUGAGGGAGCACCAGAGAAUCGGAGCACCUCCACCUCUCCUUGAUGAUCCUGUCUUGUCAGUUUCCCCAAGAAAGAGCAUUCCUGUAUCCACGCUGUGUGACGAGGGUGACUCGGCAUGGAAAGGGGAUGGAAUGGAGGAUUAGGAGUUAACACAGCAGUAAGAUCACAGACUGGUCUCGCUGAUCCCAUAGGUUUCCUUCUUCACUGAUUUGUGCAAGCCUGUGAAGACAGCUCCACUCUGCCCCAUAAUAUCGUGAUAUGCCCUUGGGAGGCAAACUGCAGGCAAAAUGCAUCCCCAGCUCCCGGGUCUGAAGUCACGUCCCUGCCCCUCUCCAGCCUCAGAGCUGGGUGUAGGCUCCUGAACUGCACUUGGUUUUCGGCUCUGUGCCCAGUUCCUUAAGCCAGCGGCCUCUGCCUGGUAUCGCAGACCCUGUGUUGGUGGAUCCAUCUGUCCAGUGAGCGGCCCGCCCAGCUCCCACCUCAAGGGAUGACGGAGGACCCAAGGACCUCAUCUGCUACACAUGUGUAAAAUCAAUCCGUAAACUCAAAGUGGGAAGGGAAGACGAGGAGGUAGCGCGAAUAUGACCCAGUGCCCUGAAAUCAACAUGCACCUGAUUAACUAUGUGCUUGGACUGGAAGCUUCCAGCAGAAGAAAACAUCUACACUUGGCUUUCUGUCUUUGAUGUUUCAAAAUUGCUUCUUGUCACUUGGAGGAAAAGUGGCAAGUGCUUUUCCUCCUACUGUAAGAUGGGGCCCAUUAAACAUUUUUCAUAUAACAAAGUUAUAUAAAGUAUAUAAAGUAAUUCAGAGAGAAUAUUAAUAUAGCUAUACGUGGGAACUCUGUUUUACACUUAUCUGGUAUUUUGUUCUUUCAUUGAAAAAGUUUAUUGUGCACUCAAAUUGUUAAGAAUAAUAAAACCUAAAACCUAAAAACUAUUUAUUUGGCCUGCUAGGUUCUUAGAUGUGGGUAGAAGCCUCACUAGUCAGUGUUCC